GAUGAACGCUGGCGGCGUGCCUAAUACAUGCAAGUCGAGCGAAUGGAUUAAGAGCUUGCUCUUAUGGAGUUAGCGGCGGACGGGUGAGUAACACGUGGGUAACCUGCCCAUAAGACUGGGAUAACUCCGGGAAACCGGGGCUAAUACCGGAUAACAUUUUGAACCGCAUGGUUCGAAAUUGUAAGGCGGCUUCGGCUGCCACUUAUGGAUGGACCCGCGUCGCAUUAGCUAGUUGGUGAGGUAACGGCUCACCAAGGCAACGAUGCGUAGCCGACCUGAGAGGGUGAUCGGCCACACUGGGACUGAGACACGGCCCAGACUCCUACGGGAGGCAGCAGUAGGGAAUCUUCCGCAAUGGACGAAAGUCUGACGGAGCAACGCCGCGUGAGUGAUGAAGGCUUCCGGGUCGUAAAACUCUGUUGUUAGGGAAGAACAAGUGCUAGUUGAAUAAGCUGGCACCUUGACGGUACCUAACCAGAAAGCCACGGCUAACUACGUGCCAGCCGCCGCGGUAA
rnacentral:rRNA from 1 species